GUGUGAUUAUGUAGAAAAAUGUAUUUCACUCUUAACUCUUUAUUUCUCUAUUUUAGCAGGGGAUGCAUUUUACGGCAGAGCCUAUUAUUAGCCUGCCGAUAUCUGCAUGCCCCCUCUAUUUUUCUCAAAUAUAAUCCUAUUGAUAUAAAACUCAUCCCAGUAGCUAAGAGGAUAAGUGUAAUUAUGUAGAAAAGGUAAAAUCCCUCUUGACUCUUUAUUUUUUCAAGCUAGGAGGGGGAUGCAUUUUUUGGCAAUAUCGAAUUUGAGCCUGCCGAUAUUUGCAUGCCAUACCUAUUUUCCCCAAAUAUCAUCCUAUUGAUAUAAAACUCAUACCAGCAGUUAAGGGAACAAAUGUGAUUAUGUAGAAAAUGUUAUUUCUUUAUUAUCGCUAUUGCAAGGAUACUGAAGGAAAUAAAUCUGACAAUGCAUCUUUGCUAAAUGUAAAGCAUGCACAAACCAUUUUUAUUUUGGUUUAACAUAAAAAUUAAAUCACUUUUUUUUUCAUUAAUUUCAACAAAAGAAUAUUCAUAACAAAAGGUUUCCUUAACUCACUUGGAGAGUCCCAAAAAGAUGUGAAGAGUUGCUUGGAAGUAACAAGGUGAGAAAAACAAGAACAAUUAUUGUUUAUUAUAAUAAAAAAUGUCAUAAUUGGAUAACUAGAAUGUUAAUUUAACAUUUUAUCCUCUCAACAAGGACAUUUAUGAGAAGCAAAGGGAUGAAAGUGUCAAUGUGGAAAUGUGAAACAGUAUAACAUGCCAUCCAGCAAGAUGUGGUUUCAUGUGGUGUGUUUGCCCUUAAAUUUGCAGAGUGCAUACUGGAAAACAAGGACCUGAACUUUCCAUCAACAGCAGAAGCUGUUAAUACCGUGCGACUCAACAUUUCUUCCACACUUCUCUCAGAAUCAGGUAUCUUUUGACAUAUUUUUUAUUCAGUUCCUAUGUGGGUGGGAUACUAUGUUGUGUGUAAAAUCAUGCACGCACAAAAAAAUUGUGUUAGGUCAGCUAUUUUAUCUAAUUAGAAAUAUUAAAAUAUUGAACUUUGCAGAUGUGUGAAGUACAAUCAUGCUAGUGUUUAUGUCAAAUUCAAUUAGUGAAGAACAUUUCAAUACACCUGGCCUUGAUCUCUAAUAAAUAAAUUACACAUAACAGCCCAAUAGCUGUUGAGGCAAAAAACAUAAUCAACAAACUUAAAAUUGUUCUAGGAUACAAUUACACUUUUCUUGAGUAGCUUUAAUGUAACUUAAUAAACAAAAAGGACUUGCAGUUUGUGAAAGUACAAAACUGGAAUGAGAUGUAUUAUGUGAACCAUUAUAUUCAUUACUGUGUUUUCAUAAAAUUAACAUUUACAAAAUGACAAAUUUCACAAGAUGUACACACAUAUAUAUGUAGACAUAUUAAAAUUUUCUGAAUGCCAUUUUUAUACCUUCAGUGGCUUAAGUUGGAGAAAAUUAUAAAAAAGUAAACACUAAGUGAUGCUUUCUUUUACCAUAAAUCCCAGAAAUACCUUAAAAAGAUGUGUGUUUCAAUUCAUGAAUAGACAGACACCAUGUGCGCCUGCCUAAUAUGCCAAUAUGAUGUACAGUUUCUAUUACUUGUAUUUGUUUAUGAGACCAGACAUUAUCAAAAAGGGAUGAUUAGACAACUGAGAUCUACACAGAGGAUUAUUGUUCCACUUUCAAAAGAACACUAACAAAUGGAAUUAUUUAAAAGAAAAAAAAAAACACAAAAAAAUACCAUUAAGAUUAUUU